AUGGAGCUGGGAGUUGGAGGGCUACCGAACAGGCCCUUAAUGGAAGCCGCCGCGGGUCAAGGAGCUUCGGGCGCCGGCGAAGGCCAGCGCCCGACGCCGCCGCCGCUGCCCCUGGGGGUGCGGCUCCAGCUGGCGGGGCUCACGGCCGCCAUCGACGCCGUGGAGCGCAGCGACGGCACCGUCAACCGCUGCCUCUACUCGGUGAUCGACCGCCUGCUGAGCGCGCGCGCCAACCCGCGCCCGGACGGCUCCGGCGUUCGCUCCUACGACUUCACCGUCGACGCCUCUCGCGGCAUCUGGGCGCGCGUCUUCGCCCCGGUCUCCUCGGAGGUGCCGCUGCCCGUAAUCGUGUACUACCACGCCGGCGGCUUCGCGCUCUUCUCCCCGGCCAUCGGGCCCUUCAACGGCGUGUGCCGCCGCCUCUGCAGCGACGUCGGCGCCGUGGUCGUGUCCGUCAACUACCGCCUUGCUCCGGAGCACCGCUACCCAGCGGCGUACGACGACGGCGUCGACGCUCUUCGCUUCAUCGACGACGCCGGCGGCAUCCGGGCCUCGGCGACGGCGUUCCAGUCGACCUCGCCAGCUGCUUUCUCACCGGGGAGAGCGCGGGGGCCAACAUCGUCCACCACGUCGCCAGCCGCUGGGCCGCCGAGCACCAGCCGGCCGCCAAGUCGCUCCGCCUCGCCGGCAUCAUCCCCGUGCAGCCCUACUUCGGCGGCGAGGAGAGGACGGAGUCGGAGCUCAGGCUGGAGGGCGUGGCGCCGGUGGUGA
rnacentral:rRNA from 1 species